CCCUUAGAUGUUCUGGGCCGCACGCGCGCUACACUGACGAAUUCAACGAGUUUAUAACCUUUGCUGGGAGGCAUGGGUAAUCUUGUAAACGUUCGUCGUGAUGGGGAUAGAUUAUUGCAAUUGUUAAUCUUCAACGAGGAAUUCCUAGUAAACGCAAGUCAUCAGCUUGCAUUGAUUACGUCCCUGCCCUUUGUACACACCGCCCGUCGCACCUACCGAUUGAAUGGUCCGGUGAAUUCUUCGGACUGCGGCUUUGACUCGAUUUCGGUCGAGGCGUUGCUGCGGGAAGUUGAUUAAACCUUACCAUUUAGAGGAAGGUGAAGUCGUAACA
rnacentral:rRNA from 1 species